rnacentral:lncRNA from 10 species
AGAAAUGCCUGUGGAAAGCUACAGAGGACUUGGGCAAGGCGUUAGAGCCGGACGUUGUGGUCCCUGGGGGAGCCAACCGGGGAGGUGCCUAUGAUCUUUCUUUCCAAGUUUGAGGGUUCAGGUCUGUGUUCGCCUGCUGGUUAGACCGAUUUAAGUUUUAGAGUCCCAGGAGUUCUGGGCGAGCUGCAGCCUAGGGGCCUGGAAGGCCAGGAAGACUUGAAGGAUCUGUGUUGGGCAAGCAGUUAAGAAGGGAAGAUGAACAUAAAGUAGGGAAGAGCAAAAAUGAGUUGGAACCUAAGACACGAGCUGGUCAUUCUUUCACUGUCUCCAACUUUAAAGAUAUGAGUAUCCUUGCUAGAGGAGCUGACACUUUUUGCCACAGGACUAGACACACACACAGCUCAGGAAUCAAAAAAGGUGAAGGAAGACUCAGGGAAAAGCUUCUGCCCCAUCCCAACAAGGUGAACCAGCUGAUUGGUGACAAAGUAGAUGAGCCGCAGUAGCACCUAGUGUCCCUGCACCACCGUUUCAAGUAUAAAACUGGAGGGAUGCUUCAGUUCUCCCCUUCAAGACUUACACAACCAUGUCUCUGUUGGGCUAUUCUAACCAGAAACAAAAGGAAAGGAAAUUCUGGGAAACAUAGUUUAGCUUAGCAAAGUUGAUAUAUUACAAAAUUACCACUGUCCACUCUGCAUCGAGUUGACAUCCAUACAGACCUCUUUAAAACACACUUUCAAAAUAAAGUCCACACCCUACACAUAAGCUAUCUCUAGAGAAAUUUGAAGUCUGUUGUGCACUGAGGAUAACCACAACAACAAACUGUAAACCUAGCCCAAUUUCUGACUAGACUGAUACCACCGAACCACUGCUAUGCACUCAAGAGCACUAAAGGCCUAGCAGAAGGAAAGACACACUCAUCUCCAAGCAUAAAAACAAUCUUUACUUCAUACUGUGAAGAGAGAAUUGAAAAAAUAAUUUAAGCAAAAAAAAUACAACAUGACUAACUUUUAACAGAAAGAAAAAAAGACGCAUACAGAAAGGCAAGAAAAAACACAGUCCAAAGAGAUAAAACAAUCAUUAGAACCAGAUUCAUAAGACAUAGACAUUAGAAAUAUGAGAGAAUUUUAAAUAACUGUGAUUAAUGUGAUGAAGGCCCUAAGGGGAAAGGUGAACAAAAUGCAAGCUCAGAUGGGUGAUUUUAGCAAAUAGAUGGAAACUAUCAGGAAAAAUAAAAUGGAAACUAUAAAAAUAAAAAAUAUAAUAAUAGAGAUGAAGAAUGCCCUCCAUGGGCCCAUUAGGAGACUGAACACAGUUGAGGAAAAAAUCAGACUUGAAGGUAGGUAAAUAGAAAUUGCUGAAACACACACACACACACACACAAAAAGAGUGACAGAAACAGAACACAGCAUCCAAGACUGGUGGGAAAAUAUCAACAUCAAAUCAAGAAAUAGGCGCAGUGGCUCACCCCUGUAAUCCCAGCACUUGGGGAGGCCGAGGCAGGCAGAUCACGAGGUCAGGAGAUCGAGACCAUCCUAGCUAACGCAGUGAAACCCCGUCUCUACUAAAAAUUCAAAAAAAUUAGCCGGGCAUGGUAGCAGGCACCUGUCGUCCCAGCUACUCGGGAGGCUGAGGUAAGAGAAUUGCGUGAACCCGGGAGGCGGAGCUUGCAGUGAGCUGAGAUCACACCACUGCACUCCAGCCUGGGCGACAGAGCAAGACUCUAUCUCAAAAAAAAAAAAAAAAUCAAGAAAUAAUGGCUGAGAAUUUCCAAAAUUUGUAAGACACCAAACCAAUCCAAGGAGCUCAGAGAACACAGAGCAGGAUAAAUUCUUUAAAAAGAAACUAAGCUUAUUGUAUUCAAACUAAGCUUAUUGUAUUGAUACCUGGUAGUUAUAACUUACCAAAUACACUGCCCAACAUCUCCAGAUGAUCUAUUAUUUCUGAAAGUUUCCUUUAUUACAUUUCUUACUUCAGGGAGAUAUAGCCUUCGCUUCAUGUUAUGGUUGGUGCAGUCAGUAUUCUCAGAAAGAAAGUACUGGUUCCAUUUUACCUCCAUCUUUUGUUUCCUGUCAGAAAACCUACCAUACCACCAAGUACUCCUUCUCUACACUGCCUCUGAUAUUUAAGUAAUUUGAGAAUUCUGUUGAGACUAUCUCCCUUUUUUGGUAUGAUGAAUCUGGUCCUAAAUUGCAUGCCAAAGACUUUGAGAACUAAACUGUAGACCCAGAUCUCAUGUCCCAGACUGGCCUUUUGUUACCCACACAAUGAAUGGGUUAAAUUGCUUGGCAGGGGACAGUCCAAUGACCACAACCAAGGAGGAUUUCCCAGGGGGAUUUUAUUACUUGCGAUAAGUAAGGAGGACACUGGGAAUAAUUCCCCAAAGCAAUGC